AACAAAGAAAAUCCAAUCAAUUUGCGAAGCGGGCCGCGGAAUCUCCAUCUCCUCGCACUUGACCUUCUGUAAGACUGAAACUCGAAACCUCUGUUGUUCGUCGCGGUGGCAAUGGCGACUAACAACAUUAAUGGGGAUAUCCUAAUGCUCGAAGCUCCACCGCAGCCGUCUCAACCAGCGUGGCGCGUUGCUGCGGAUGCCGAGGUAGUCGACGCCCUGCCCUACAUCGACGACGACUAUGCAGACCCAAGGGUCAAAGCAGAGGUCGACCGCUUAGUCGAGGAAGAGAUGCGCCGUAGCUCCAAACGACCGGCCGACUUUCUCAAAGACUUGCCUCCCGUUCCUAAGUUCAAGUUCGAAGAUCAUCCAAUGCUUGCUAGAGAGUACGAACGUGUAAGAGCUGGGAGACCUCCAGUGCCUCUCGAUGUUGCAAGAUAUAAGUUAGAGACACCACCUCCAAAUAAAAAAAAUGACGAAACUGCUUGGAAGCAGACACUUCAGAAAGCUCAAUGCUUACUCCGUCAUCAAGUACUGAGGCUGGAAAAUUUGGAUCUGAUGUCAAAAUAUGGCCCUGAUAUAUGGAAGCAACACAACAAACAGUUGGAAGCACUUCUAUCAAGAAUGCAAAAAUUAGCUCAAGAACAGAAUGAGAAGAUUGAAAAGGUGAACCGUGAAAGGAAAUUCCAUCAACAAAACGCUGCAUAUGAGCUUCAUGCUUUGUCCACGCAAUGGAAGGAGCUUUGUGAGAAAAAUAUGGAAAUCCAAGUGGCAUGCUUUCAAUUAGAGGGUCAAAUCGAGGAACUAAGGAGAGAGGCAACAGAAAAGUAAGGCUGGAAUUUGGAAGUCAAUGUAGAGAAUGGUUCUGUUUCGCUUCCCGUAUCAUAAGGGGAGCGUCACUUCCAACGUCAUUUGAUGCUAUUAUGAGAUGCCUUACAUGGAAGAUGAGUUAGAUUUCUGCUUAUAUGGGAGAGGAUGGUUGCUCCAAAGUUUGUCUUUAGUCAUUUUCAAAUUUUGCAUUGAAUUGAUCGUAUCUGUACCUUUAGUGAAGUAAUUCGAAGUACACUUGCUUCCUCUAACCGUGUUAUUUUGGUGACUCUCUGACUUGAAUAUAGUUUAUAACUUUAUAAUGUACAAAUUAUUGAACUACCAGACUAUCUAUCAAAUGUAUAACAAUUGAUAUUAGUUCUUAA